GUACGGGAACCUUACACUUGAACGCAUUCAUGAAGAACAUCUUUCAUUCUGCUGACAAACUGUAGAGCUAAUCCAGUGUUGGCACCUGGUGGGCAAAGUAACAUUGUAUCUUCUGACAUAAAUCUGUUAAGUACUUCAAACUUCAUUGUGUACGUUCCAUUAACUGCUGUCCACCCUUGCAGACAAUGGCAGAGAACAUAUUUCAGUCUUUGUUGUACAUUGGCCUAUCAGAGCAUCAAAAGCCAUUGUGAACUGCUGCUGUAAUCUAAGCUUCACAUACUGACUUCAAAAUGUGAAAAUGACAACUCACAGCCCACAGCAGCUGCUGAUUUCCUGUACAUCAAUGAUGAGCUUUGACCUAGAUUUUCUUCAAGAUGGCUCAAGAUGGGAAGAAUACAGCAUUCUGACAGAAAUGGAACAUUCCUUUGUUCUCAAACUUUCUCUAAGUGUCAGUUGUUUCAGAAAUUACCUGUGGAAAGAAUGUGUUACACAGGAACAAAGAGAACAAAAUCACCAGCAUUUAAUUCUUCUAAUUAGCAUAUUUCUUAGAUCUGACAUUCAAUUAAGCCAGAUCUGAUGAAGUUCUGAAGUGGUCAGGAUGAAAGUGCUUAUCAUUUGUUUUAUUUUCUUCAAUAAAGUCCAGAAUUGGUUUUAUUGAAUUUGGCCUGAAUAGGUGCAUUUUUACUGUGGAGUGGCUCAUCCUUUUGUUGCUGUUUGACAUCUUCGUGUUUUGCGACAGUUUUUCCUUUUGUCUUUUUUCACAAAUAUUCAAAUCUGGAGCCAGUGUUACUAGAAAACACACUACUCAGGAUAAAUUAAUCUUUACAUUAGUGGCAUUCAUUCACUUUGAUGCUUUAAACUGUAUUUUA